rnacentral:rRNA from 1 species
UACGUAGGCAGCGAGCGUUGUUUGGAGUUACUGGGCGUAAAGGGUGUGUAGGCGGUUGUUUAAGUUUGGUGUGAAAUCUCCCGGCUCAACUGGGAGGGUGCGCCGAAUACUGAAUGACUUGGAGUGCGGGAGAGGUGAGUGGAAUUCCUGGUGUAGCGGUGAAAUGCGUAGAUAUCAGGAGGAACACCGGUGGUGUAGACGGCUCACUGGACCGUAACUGACGCUGAGACACGAAAGCGUGGGUAGCAAACAGG